UACGGGGGGGGCAAGCGUUGUUCGGAAUUACUGGGCGUAAAGGGCUCGUAGGUGGCCAACUAAGUCAGACGUGAAAUCCCUCGGCUUAACCGGGGAACUGCGUCUGAUACUGGAUGGCUUGAGUUUGGGAGAGGGAUGCGGAAUUCCAGGUGUAGCGGUGAAAUGCGUAGAUAUUGGGAGGAACACCAGUGGCGAAGGCGGCUCGCUGGACCGGUUCUGACGCUGAGGCGCGAAAGCGUGGGGAGCAAACGGG
rnacentral:rRNA from 1 species